rnacentral:rRNA from 1 species
UACGUAGGUGGCGAGCGUUAUCCGGAUUUACUGGGUGUAAAGGGCGCGUAGGCGGGGAUGCAAGUCAGAUGUGAAAUCUAUGGGCUUAACCCAUAAACUGCAUUUGAAACUGUAUUUCUUGAGUGCUGGAGAGGUAGAUGGAAUUCCUUGUGUAGCGGUGAAAUGCGUAGAUAUAAGGAAGAACACCAGUGGCGAAGGCGAUCUACUGGACAGUAACUGACGCUGAGGCGCGAAAGCGUGGGGAGCAAACAGG